rnacentral:tRNA from 1 species
UCAUUGGUUGUUCAGAGGUAGAAUACUUGUCUUCUGUGUGGGAUACCUGGGUUCAACUCCUGGCCAAUGCA